GAUGAACGCUGGCGGCGUGCCUAAUACAUGCAAGUCGAGCGAACGGACGAGAAGCUUGCUUCUCUGAUGUUAGCGGCGGACGGGUGAGUAACACGUGGAUAACCUACCUAUAAGACUGGGAUAACUUCGGGAAACCGUAGCUAAUACCGGAUAAUAUUUUGAACCGCAUGGUUCAAAAGUGAAAGACGGUCUUGCUGUCACUUAUAGAUGGAUCCGCGCUGCAUUAGCUAGUUGGUAAGGUAACGGCUUACCAAGGCAACGAUGCAUAGCCGACCUGAGAGGGUGAUCGGCCACACUGGAACUGAGACACGGUCCAGACUCCUACGGGAGGCACCAGUAGGGAAUCUUCCGCAAAGGGCGAAAGCCUGACGGAGCAACGCCGCGUGAGUGAUGAAGGUCUUCGGAUCGUAAAACUCUGUUAUUAGGGAAGAACAUAUGUGUAAGUAACUGUGCACAUCUUGACGGUACCUAAUCAGAAAGCCACGGCUAACUACGUG
rnacentral:rRNA from 1 species